CCAAAAUUGUCUCACGCCGUGAAAACGCGGAUUUCCCAUUGCCGACGUUUUCUUCCUGACAGGCUUUAUGCGACAGCUCAUGCAACGCGUGUUUGGGGUUUACAGUCCGCCUAUGGUGUAGAUUGGUGUGGCUUCCUGCAUGCGGGAUGCAUCUUCAUCCCGAGUCAUAUUGCUGGCAACGACUACUUAAUCAUGUCUCGCCAUAGUUAAAAUUAUUGCUUUCCGUUGGUUAAUAUCCAAAAGCGAUGCAACAAAGCGAGGGGCAAGGAAUGAGCCUGAAAGUUCGGUUGGAAGCGAAAGUCGAAGCGGUUCAGUGGAAGCAUCCAUCGAGUAAACCGGUCAUUCUUUCUUUAUUGAAGGGGAGACGAUUCAAUGGAAAGUCAUAUUACUUACCUACUUUGUCUGUCAGUAUUUUGCCUGAUUGUAAGCAUGUUAUCUUCAACACUCCAAAGAUAAGUACACAGACUUCUUCAAUGGCAAUGGAAAAGGUUGGCCUGGAAUCACUUCUUCCUGUUGAAACUGAAACCUCAAGUAGCGAUACAAAACCAUCCAUAAACUGGUCAUGACACAAAGAACCUAUUGGAAUUAGGAGUGGUAAAAAUUUCUCUAGCAACGACUUGCUAGAGUAGUUGUACUCAGCUAAAGAUAAAAGUAUUUUCUAUGGUAUACAAACAGGUGUACAAAUGAAAUAGAUCUACUUAGUGUGACAUUUGGAUGGCAGGUUAGCUAAAGCCUAAAACAUAUAAUGCUCUAAAAAAAGUAUAAAUAUAUGUUAAUAUUCUUCUUGCUUAUAAUAUCUACUCCAAAAACUCUGGGAUCUUGAUGCAUAUGAUAUGUUUAAGGCACUAAUGCUCUUUAACGUCAACUUUGAUUAAACAGAAUUAUGGACCAUUUUUUGAUACAUGGGAAGCAUGAAUCAAUGAUCCUAUAAUGUUGCUAGGUUUUAAAAAAGGCAGAAAAGAUUUGACCUUCCAGAAGUGGAAUUAUCAGAUUGGUUUAAGGAUGAACACCAACAUCUAUAUUCAAAAACAGGGGCAAACAUUGUUCAAUGGAAUUCAGGAACAUACCCUCCCAGUAAUACUGCCCUGAUAUGGUACAGGGUAAGAAGUUUGAUUAUGUUUUUGUUGGCAAAAUAGGGGCAAACGUUGUUCAAUGGAAUUCAGGAACAUACCCUCCCAAUAAUACUGCCCUGAUAUGGUACAGGACUGAGUUCAAUGCACCAAAAGGAAACAAUGCAGUGGCUUUGGACCUGACCACCAUGAGUAAAGGCCAAGCAUGGGUAAAUGGCCAUCAUAUUGGGCGCUAUUUUCCUUCAUUCAAUGCUCCUACAGAUGGGUGCUCCGAUACAUGUGAUUAUAGAGGAACCUAUUAUCCAACCAAUUGCGUCACUGGUUGUGGAAAAUCAUCUCAAGAAUGGUAAUAGGAUUUACAUGAAUUAAGAAGAUGCCUUGGCACCUUGCCAUUCAUUUGGUACCAAAAACCAGUUAAAAACAUUUGUUUUACAGCUAUUUCAUAGUUUAUGAGGCAAUUUUGAUUUAUUUAUCAAGUGCCAUGUCCCUCACUCCUGGUUUCACCCCACAAACAAUGUAUUAGUAUUACUUAAGGAAAUUGUUGGCGACCCAUCUAGAGGUCAUAGAGCAACAACAGCAGAAGAAGAGCCCUGAACUUGAUGCUGUCAGCUGUUCUUCUCUCAUCAGUGGGUCAUGUGGGUUUCAAGGAGCAAUUUUCUUAGCUUGUGCAUUUAUUCUUCACACGACAAACAAGGUCUUGGGGUUAUGAAUUCUUGAAAGUCUCUAUAGAUUGCAGGUGCUAGUUGGCGGUAGAAUUCAAGUUUUGUUUGCAUGUUGCUCUGAAGUGGCAAUAACCGAAGAGUUUUGGAAGAAAUACAUUUAUGCUUUUAACAAUGGUUAGUUGUGAAGUAAUUUUUUGUCUGUAAUGAUCCCACUCAUUACACGUUUCGAGAAACAAAUUUUGUAGAUAUAAAUGACAGAAUUUGUCUUUCAGAAUAUUACAACAUGCUUAGCAUAAAAAAUUGUAUUG